GUUCCUUACCGGGAGUCGCCGGCGCCGUCGCCUUCCCGGCGCCGCCCCCGCCCCUCCACGCGGGGCCGGGGGCAGAAUGGGCUUCUCGCUUCUCCUCACGAAACAAAGAAGCAGCCGCCGCAGCCGCCGAGCGAGGGUACUGUGCAACUCCUCUGCCCCCAUGGAGGUUUCUAUUCUAAAAAAAACAGACAAAGAAACAUUAACCUGUGUGAUGAAUCGCCAAGAGGAGAUUAGUUCAAAACACAAGCCUGGAGAAUUUUCUGUUUUCUUCAAAGCUGGCCUGCUGGUUCUUCGUGCAGAGACUGCCAUCCAUCUAAGCUGCUCCACUGCAGAGGUCACUUCUCUUUUAACUCUUCUAGGUUAAAAACCUCACAGAAGAGAUGGCCGGCCUGGAUGAAGUCAUAGCUAAGCUGACCAAGGAGAAGAAGGCCCUCCAGGAGGCCCAUCAGCAGACCCUGGAUGACCAGCCAAGCUCCACCACAGGUUCCAGGCUGGUUCCAACAAUGGCGGCAUUUCUUCGGCCUUUCCAGAAGACGUCAUGGAAUGUGAAGUCAAGUGGACCUGAGGAAGCAUCGCUACGAACAAAACUAGAGGAGGUGAUGGAAUUCCAGUUGAGCUAUUUCAAAUCCUAAAAGAUGGUUGGAUGGCGUCACCAACUCAAUGGACAUGAGUUUGAGUAAACUCCGGGAGUUGGUGAUGGACAGACAGGCCUGGCGUGCUGCAGUCCAUGGGGUCGCAAAGAGUCAGACACAAAUGAGCAACUGUACUGAACUUCAUAUGUGAUGAAACCUCCAUAAAAACCCAAAAGGAUGCGGUUCCGAGAGCUUCCAGAUUGCCACAUCCCCAACUCAGAAGCUCCUGUGUUCAGGACCUCGCCUUGUUCAUCUGUUCAUCCAACUGUUGAUUCAGAUCCUUUCAUAACCUUUGUAGUGAGCCAGUAAUCUAGGAAGUAACAUAUUCCUCUGAGUUCUGUGAGCCGCUCUAGAAAAAUAAUUGAACUCAAAGGGGUCGUAGGUACCUCUGAUUUACAGCCAGUCUGUCAGAAGCACAGAGGACAGCCUGAACUUGCAAUUGGUCUCAAAGGGACUGGGAGGCAGUCCAUUGGCCAGAGACCUUGACCUGUGGGUCUCAUGCUGCCCCCAGGUGGCCAGUGGGGAGCAAUGUGGAUGUUCUCAAAACACACGGUUGUGCCUUUGACCUGCUCUCAGUCCCGCUCCCCCCAGGGACUAGUACAGAGGCGUAAUUCUGUUUCACCCCCGUCAAAGCACUGCCAGGGCUGGGGCAAUUUCCUGGUGGCAUCUGUCAAAAGCUUUAAAGACAUCGAGGGAAUUCCCUGGUAGUUCAGUGGCUAAGACUUCUGAGCUCCCAAUGGAGGGGGCCCAAGUUCAAUCCCUGGCCAGGGAACUACAUCUCACAUGCCUCAGGAGUUCCCGUGCCACAGCUAAAGAUCCUGCAUCUCGGGAAUUCCCUGGCAGUUCAGUGGUUAAGAAUCCACCUUGCAAUGCAGGGGACUUGAGUUCAGUCCCAAGACUCUCUGCUUCCACUGCAGAGGGGACAGAUUCAAUCCCUAGGGAAUUAUGAUCCCACAUGCCACGGAGCAACUAAGCCCACGGGCCACGACUGCAGAGUCUGUGCACUAAGACUCUAAGCUAAGA